GAUGAACGCUAGCUACAGGCUUAACACAUGCAAGUCGAGGGGAAACGACAUCGAAAGCUUGCUUUUGAUGGGCGUCGACCGGCGCACGGGUGAGUAACGCGUAUCCAACCUGCCCACCACUUGGGGAUAACCUUGCGAAAGUAAGACUAAUACCCGAUGAUAUCUCUAGACGACAUCUGAAAGAGAUUAAAGAUUUAUCGGUGAUGGAUGGGGAUGCGUCUGAUUAGCUUGUUGGCGGGGUAACGGCCCACCAAGGCGACGAUCAGUAGGGGUUCUGAGAGGAAGGUCCCCCCACAUUGGAACUGAGACACGGUCCAAACUCCUACGGGAGGCAGCAGUGAGGAAUAUUGGUCAAUGGGCGAGAGCCUGAACCAGCCAAGUAGCGUGCAGGACGACGGCCCUAUGGGUUGUAAACUGCUUUUAUAAGGGAAUAAAGUGAGUCUCGUGAGACUUUUUGCAUGUACCUUAUGAAUAAGGACCGGCUAAUUCCGUG
rnacentral:rRNA from 1 species